rnacentral:rRNA from 1 species
CCUACGGGUGGCAGCAGUGGGGAAUAUUGCACAAUGGGGGGGACCCUGAUGCAGCGACGCCGCGUGAGUGAAGAAGUAUUUCUGUAUGUAAAGCUCUAUCAGCAGGGGAGAUAAUGCCGGUACCUGAGUACGAAGCCCCGGCUAACUACGUACCAGCAGCCGCGGGAAUACGUCGGGGGCCAGCGUUAUUCGGGAUGACUGGGCGUAAAGGGUGCGUAGGUGGUUUAGUAAGUUGGCGGUGUAAUUCCGGGGCUUAACCUCGGCGCUACCGCCAAAACUAUUAGACUAGAGUGCAGGAGGGGUAAGUGGAAUGCCUAGUGUAGCGGUGGAAUGCGUAGAUAUUAGGAGGAACAUCAGGGGCGAAGGCGACUUACCGGACUGUAACUGACACUGAGGCACGAAAGCGUGGGGAGCAAACAGGAUUAGAUACCCUAGUAGUC